rnacentral:rRNA from 1 species
AGUGAACGCUGGCGGUAGGCCUAACACAUGCAAGUCGAACGGCAGCACAGUAAGAGCUUGCUCUUACGGGUGGCGAGUGGCGGACGGGUGAGGAAUACAUCGGAAUCUACUUUUUCGUGGGGGAUAACGUAGGGAAACUUACGCUAAUACCGCAUACGACCUACGGGUGAAAGCAGGGGAUCUUCGGACCUUGCGCGAUUGGAUGAGCCGAUAUCGGAUUAGCUAGUUGGCGGGGUGAAGGCCCACCAAGGCGACGAUCCGUAGCUGGUCUGAGAGGAUGAUCAGCCACACUGGAACUGAGACACGGUCCAGACUCCUACGGGAGGCAGCAGUGGGGAAUAUUGGACAAAGGGCGCAAGCCUGAUCCAGCCAUACCGCGUGGGUGAAGAAGGCCUUCGGGUUGUAAAGCCCUUUUGUUGGGAAAGAAAAGCAGCAGGUUAAUACCCCGCUGUUCUGACGGUACCCAAAGAAUAAGCACCGGCUAACUUCGUG